rnacentral:rRNA from 1 species
UACGUAGGGCGCAAGCGUUAUCCGGAAUUAUUGGGCGUAAAGAGCUCGUAGGCGGUUUGUCGCGUCUGCCGUGAAAGUCCGGGCUCAACUCCGGAUCUGCGGUGGGUACGGGCAGACUAGAGUGAUGUAGGGGAGACUGGAAUUCCUGGUGUAGCGGUGAAAUGCGCAGAUAUCAGGAGGAACACCGGUGGCGAAGGCGGUUCUCUGGGCAUUACCUGACGCUGAGGAGCGAAAGUGUGGGGAGCGAACAGG